rnacentral:misc_RNA from 1 species
GAUUAAGAACGUAGCAAAAUGCGAUACUUGGUGUGAAUUGCAGAAUCCCGUGAACCAUCGAGUUUUUGAACGCAAGUUGCGCCCGAAGCCUUUUGGCCGAGGGCACGUCUGCCUGGGCGUCACGCAUCGCGUCGCCCCCCACAAUUCUCCGUAAAGGGAACGUGUGUUUUGGGGGCGGAUAUUGGUCUCCCGUGCUCAUGGCGUGGUUGGCCGAAAUAGGAGUCCUUUCGAUGGACGCACGAACUAGUGGUGGUCGUAAAAACCCUCGUCUUUUGUUUCGUGCUGUUGCUCGCAAGGUAAACUCUUUAAAAACCCCAAUGUGUCGUCUCUUGACGACGCUUCGACCGCGACCCCAGGUCAGGCGGGACUACCCGCUGAGUUUAAGCAUAUCAAUAAGCGGAGGA